rnacentral:lncRNA from 1 species
CUGUGAUGUUUAAAGAUGAAAUGCAGACAAUUUCAUAAGCUUUCCAGAAUGUCCUCAUUCAUGUUUGUUGGAUCUCCGUAGCAAUAGUUAUGACUUGUUUACUGAGCUGCACCGUUAUUUUGGUUGUUGCUGUUUAUAGUUUAACUUGGUAAUCUUGCUAAGUCUUGCUGAGUUAGUUAGUUAUCUUGUGUGAGCUUGUGAUGAAAGUUACUCCAUAAACGAGUGUCCAGUG